GUGCGAAAUGCUUCAAGGAGCUUGCUCUUUGAAGGGUUAGGGGCGGAUGGGUGAGUAACACGUGGGCAACCUGCCCUACAGAUGGGGAUAACUCCGGGAAACCGGGGCUAAUACCGAAUAAACAGUUUGUCCGCAUGGACAAACUCUGAAAGAUGGUUUCGGCUGUCACUGUAUGAUGGGCCCGCGGCGCAUUAGCUAGUUGGUGGGAUAAUGGCCUACCAAGGCAACGAUGCGUAGCCGACCUGAGAGGGUGAUCGGCCACACUGGGACUGAGACACGGCCCAGACUCCUACGGGAGGCAGCAGUAGGGAAUCUUCCACAAUGGACGAAAGUCUGAUGGAGCAAUGCCGCGUGAGUGAAGAAGGUUUUCGGAUCUUAAAGCUCUGUUGUAAGGGAAGAACAAGUAUGGUAGUAACUGCCCGUACCUUGACGGUACCUUAUUAGAAAGCCACGGCUAACUACGUGCCAGCAUCCGCGGUAAUACGUAGGUGGCAAGCGUUGUCCGGAAUUAUUGGGCGUAAAGCGCGCGCAGGCGGCCCCUUAAGUCUGAUGUGAAAGCCCCCGGCUCAACCGGGGAAGGUCAUUGGAAACUGAGAGGCUUGAGUACAGAAGAGGGAAGCGGAAUUCCACGUGUUGCGGUGAAAUGCGUAGAGAUGUGGAAGGAACACCAUUGGCUAAGGCGGUUUUCUGGUCUGUAAC
rnacentral:rRNA from 1 species